rnacentral:rRNA from 2 species
GGACUACACGGGUAUCUAAUCCUGUUUGCUACCCACGCUUUCGCGCCUCAGCGUCAAUCAUCGCGUAGUGAGCUGCCUUCGCAAUUGGUGUUCUAUGUCAUAUCUAAGCAUUUCACCGCUACAUGACAUAUUCCGCUCACCUCCACGAUAUUCAAGACAGAUAGUAUCAACGGCAGUUCCCAAGUUAAGCUCGGGGAUUUCACCACUGACUUACCUGCCCGCCUACGCACCCUUUAAACCCAGUGAAUCCGGAUAACGCUUGCACCCUCCGUAUUACCGCGGCUGCUGGCAC